rnacentral:rRNA from 1 species
GACGAACGCUGGCGGCGCGCCUAACACAUGCAAGUCGAACGAGCGAGAGAGAGCUUGCUUUCUCGAGCGAGUGGCGAACGGGUGAGUAACGCGUGAGGAACCUGCCUCAAAGAGGGGGACAACAGUUGGAAACGACUGCUAAUACCGCAUAAGCCCACGGUGCCGCAUGGCACAGAGGGAAAAGGAGCAAUCCGCUUUGAGAUGGCCUCGCGUCCGAUUAGCUAGUUGGUGAGGUAAUGGCCCACCAAGGCGACGAUCGGUAGUCGGACUGAGAGGUUGAACGGCCACAUUGGGACUGAGACACGGCCCAGACUCCUACGGGAAGCAGCAGUGGGGAAUAUUGCACAAUGGGGGAAACCCUGAUGCAGCGACGCCGCGUGGAGGAAGAAGGUCUUCGGAUUGUAAACUCCUGUUGUUGGGGAAGAUAAUGACGGUACCCAACAAGGAAGUGACGGCUAACUACGUG